rnacentral:rRNA from 1 species
AGCGAACGCUGGCGGCAGGCUUAACACAUGCAAGUCGAACGCACCGCAAGGUGAGUGGCAGACGGGUGAGUAGCGCGUGGGAAUCUACCCAGUUCUACGGAACAACUGAGGGAAACUUCAGCUAAUACCGUAUACGCCCUACGGGGGAAAGAUUUAUCGGAAUUGGAUGAGCCCGCGUUGGAUUAGCUAGUUGGUGAGGUAACGGCUCACCAAGGCGACGAUCCAUAGCUGGUCUGAGAGGAUGAUCAGCCACACUGGGACUGAGACACGGCCCAGACUCCUACGGGAGGCAGCAGUGGGGAAUAUUGGACAAUGGGCGAAAGCCUGAUCCAGCCAUGCCGCGUGAGUGAUGAAGGCCCUAGGGUUGUAAAGCUCUUUCAGUGGGGAAGAUAAUGACGGUACCCACAGAAGAAGCCCCGGCUAACUUCGUGCCAGCCGCCGCUGUAAGAC